AACGAACGCUGGCGGCAGGCCUAACACAUGCAAGUCGAACGCCGUAGCAAUACGGAGUGGCAGACGGGUGAGUAACGCGUGGGAACAUACCCUUCGGUUCGGAACAACUCAGGGAAACUUGAGCUAAUACCGGAUACGUGCGAGAGCAGAAAGAUUCAUCGCCGAAGGAUUGGCCCGCGUUCGAUUAGCUAGUUGGUGAGGUAACGGCUCACCAAGGCGACGAUCGANAGCUGGUCUGAGAGGAUGAUCAGCCACAUUGGGACUGAGACACGGCCCAAACUCCUACGGGAGGCAGCAGUGGGGAAUAUUGGACAAUGGGCGAAAGCCUGAUCCAGCCAUGCCGCGUGAGUGAUGAAGGCCCUAGGGUUGUAAAGCUCUUUCGUCAGGGACGAUAAUGACGGUACCUGAAGAAGAAGCCCCGGCUAACUUCGUGCCAGCAGCCGCCGCGGU
rnacentral:rRNA from 1 species